CGGAAGGCGUGGGAAAGGUUGAGAAACGGGCAUUUUGGGACUUAAAAUCCCUCGGCCUUGGCCAUCCGGGUUCGAGUCCCGGCGCCCGGACCA
rnacentral:tRNA from 1 species